UCUGCUAGUUCCACUGCUAGAACGGCGUCACGAAGCUUCAGUCUUAGUGUAGUAGUUUCAGGAUUUGAUGUCAGCUUUGUCUUACCCAUUACAAAGCCACUAUGGUCUUGGUCUUUAAUGUCUAUUGUUUGAAGGGUCAUUGUCUUUGAAUCAGAAGAAUCUUUGAUGUUCUUCGACUAGGAGACAAUGGAACAUAUGACAUAUAUCAGCAACAAUGGCGAUGGAUUCUUUCUGAAAUCUAAUGAGGACACAAAGUGUGUUAUUGAGGUCUGGUCCUGUCAAAAGAACAUCAUUAAGGGAAACUUCAUACUGUAAGCUGGAGUUGAACAUUACACAGAAUUGUCCAGGCUUCUUAGGAUGACAGACAACGAAAAUAAGAAGGCCUUCUCGAAUCAACACCCACCAUUGUUCUUCUUGCUGUGGGAAGCCAAGCUCUGCUUUGCUGACAGCAAAGCAAGGAAUCUCCACCUUCACUUACAGGUCUUACAUCAGUCUACCAUUUCUAUCCCAUUGGCAUUGUGUCCUGUUUUAUCUUCCUAUCCGCAUACCAAAGGUUAAUUCCAUGAGUUGGAGGUAUGGAGCUAUGCAAGGUACGUUGUUCCACAUCUGCUUGUCUUGUAGAAUUGUGUCAUCUUUCCAAGACAUUUCCCUGUCAGUCUAUAUACGUUCACUCUUGACAAAGGCUCUAUGGCCGAAACGUUGCAUCUGGGAUAAAUUGCACAAAAAGGACGUGCUGUCUCCAUACUUCUUUUUGAUAUACAUGAUCUGCUAAUGUCAGGACACAUCUCACCGCCCUAAGGCAUGAUGGGACAGCAGACACAUGACAAACCAGGAAGUAGGAUUCAAGCAUGGGAGGUAAGAGAAAACUGCAAGUGAAAAAACUAUCCAAGGAGGAAUGGUGGCUGGAGUAACUGAGGAAAAUAAACUUUAGAGUGAAAAGCAGUUUAUGGCACAGACUCUUUUUUUUGGGGGUACGUAAGGACAGGAUAUAACAUUAAUUUAAAAAAAAACUGUGUUUUUCUUUAACUUAUGAAAAUAUAAGCCAUGAAAUAUCAUUGUUGUGUGGUUUAUUUUUAUACUGCUCCUUUUGCUUGGUUGUCCUGUAAAUGGUAAUUGCUUUAUAAAGGAAUAUCAGUUGACUUUUGUACAGUUUUGACACGUUUAGGAAAAUAUAGCAAUUGCCAAUGAUUACAAACAGCAUAUUUCACAGCUAAAACAGUAACAAAUGAUAUCAGUGUAAAGGGUUGUCCAGGAUUAGAAAUAAGUCUUCUGAGCACCACUCUUGUCCAUGGGCUACGACUGGCCUAAGUGAGGUUGAACUGCAAUAUCAAACACAGCCUAAAGACAAGGGUGGUGCAGAAGACCCCUUUUCCUAAUCGUGGUCAUCAUAUCACACUGUCUCCAUCUGUUGACAACAUAGUGUUUUGUGAAGAUUCCUGUAAAUGACAUAAAAGUCUGUAGGCAACCUGUGCCUCUGUCCAUGAGUAUGCGGGUUUAUCAUCAGUAGGUGAACAGAACAAUCAUCAUUCAUGUAAUCAAGAUGAAUUAAUUUAGCAUCAAGAUGAUUAACUGCUGGGGAAACUAAGAAUAAUUCUCACAGACGUUAGCCAAGCAGGGCUUGGUGCGUCUCCACCGCCAUUUUCUUUUUUCUUAUAGGCUCUUCUUGGGCACACAACACAUUAAAUUA